AGAACACCACCUCCCGGCCGGGCACCGUCUCGAAGCUGCUCCCGGGCAGCAGGUGGUAGCCCAGGUGGUAACGCUUCAUCAUCCGCAGCAUGGACUGGUACCUGCGGGGGUAGCAUGUCAUUCAGUCUGUGCCUCUCCGAUCUGACAGUUCCCAUUCCCCAACUCUCGCUUGCACAGCAUAUCGUGAUGCUUGUUCUCGAACAAUGACAGCCACACAAAGUAUUUUACAAACUCUGCUGACAGAACAACAAUGGUACAAGGAUACACAGGCCAUUGGUUCUACUUUUAAGAACUCCCAAGUUUGAGACAAGUUACUUGAAAAUAAAGCAUUGAGUAGAUUUAAUGACCACCAUAUUGGGGAGAAGAAAUAUCCUGGUCGUAGCCUGGCAAUACUACAUUUUGAUUGGCCUCACUUCCACUGAUAAGACAAUCAAAAGUGGGAAGAAAAAAUGAGGCCAUGGUCCCUUUAAGAUUAUAGUGGUUUUUUAAACAUUAGGGUAUAGUCUGUAUCAUGAAACUUGUCUCAUAUUGGACAUUUAUUAAAAGUAGUUGCACUGUUAUAGAUAUCAUUCAGCUGCUUUUUUUUCUGGUAACAGAGUUUUUAAACAACUUCAUAUGGUCGUCAGUGUGCGUAAACAAACUUCAGAAAUGGACACCACUUGUCAAUUUUUAGACUGUAAAUUUUGCGAUUCAGAUUUAUUUGUUCCGAUAAAUGACAAAAAAAAAUAUUUUUUAAUGAAUUUUGAAAGUGCUGAGGUAGAUUCAUAACCAAACUAUAUAGUACCUUCUAAUUUUUCAAUUUUUCCCACUGUUAUUUAUUGAGGCUGUAAGCUUUAAGUAGGGUAUUUAUGUAUUCACAAGUUGGUAGCUAGGGAACUUAGAGGCAGUGUGUAUAUGUGGUAACACUGCGAACAUCCUUUGUGUACGCUCUGACAGGAACAGACAGUGGAUCUGUUAUGACUGUUUCCACGAUAAAUUGUGUAUUAGCAACGCCGACCAGGGCUACGCCCUCCCUAACACCGAUGUGCCUCACGCCACUGCCGACCCCCUCUCCACCCACCGACACCUUCUAUUUCAAACCUUACGCCAACAGUUGCUGUGUGUGUGUUCAGUCACCCUGCACGAACCCUUUCGGUGCCCACCCUAACUGGAGCAGUGGAGACUUCAUCUCUUUAAAUAAUGUAGUUAAUAAUUAAAUAACUAUAAUACAUAAUACUUUAAUACUUAAGUCUAAAUUAACGUGUGAUUUUUAAAGGGUUUAAAUAUGUUAUUUUUAAUUGUUCUGCUACGUCAAUCUACGGUAAAUUCAGCACUUCCUGCGGCCAUGGCACCCAUGGCCUGGCCAGUCUCUUCUGUUCGCCGUGCAGGGUAGUACGCAUCUCAGCACCUCAUCGACUUCAACUAUUGCUCUCAACUGAUCCGUUAUCAUAAUUAUUUUAAACCUUUUUUAAUUAACCUUCGGGUCUACCCCGGUGGCAGACUAUGGAAACUAACUAAUUAUAGCUUCCCGUAGAGUUUUGUAUUAUUUGGUGAGCUUGCACUUUCGAGGCCAGUCCACGUGGUGUCCUGGUCAGCAUGAAAGCUGGACUACUUACUGUUUUUCGUACGCAUUGUCAGUGUACGUGUCGGCGGCAACAAAACUUAAUAUUCACCCAACUCCUUGCACUCAAUUUUCUCAACUACGAGCUUUCCAGUACAGAGACGGAGGUGUAUGGGGCGCCUCAAGACCACACAAGCAGUCGUCUUCGCCGGUAAUAUAGUGUGCUCGCCGCUGAGAGCGGGCCGGUGAGUGUUAGCGGGGGAGUCGAGCCUAGCUCGACAUGGGUCACAUCUCGGCGCUGGGACAGCGUCGGUAGCCGGGUCCACGUGCCCAUCCACAUGUUGGCGCCCAAGGUCUACUACAUGUACGCCGAUCAAAACCCCCCCCCCCCCCCCCCCCCCCAAGCCUGGCGACAUUAGAACAGUCAUGAGCUUGGUUAUAGGCAGUAGUACACAACACCCACACUCUUACUUCGGCCAAUUUGCCUGACUUAAUUGUUUCCCCUGUACCACCUACCUGGCAAGGUAACAGAUAUAUUACAAUAAACUUUAUUAUCAAAACAGUAAAACAAAUUUCUGCAAUGCAAAAUGUUUUCCUUUUCAAUAUAUUGUCUGCACUGCCAUCAUUUCCAUCGACAUAACAUAAACAAAACUGCCAGCCUGAAAGAAAAAAUUAAUAAAUAUUUCUGAUGAACCUUUUAAAAGAUACGCGAUUGAUUUAUUGUGAUCAAGAAAAAUAUUAUAGAUAUUUGUGCAUGCUUCAAAUUAAUAAUCAGUUUUUUGUAUCCCUUUAAUAUAUUUAAUGUUAGUGAAAACUAUAUAGGUAUCGGUACAGAUUAUUAAGGCUUGAUAUCAUAUGAAAUGUUGGUUAUUUCAUUCUCUUGUCAUUACCAUUACUGUAUGUGAAAGAAUUUCCUGUUAAUUUUUUCAUGAUAGCUCUCUUGCAUUUUAUGUUUCAUCUCAAAUUUUCUCAACAGAUAUUUACUAACAAUUAUCUAGCACCAUUCAAAAACACACAAGUUUUUAUCAUUUAAAUCACUUAAUUUAUAACGGGAAAAAUAUUGUUAAGUAAACAUUUGGUUACAGAAUUUGUGACCAAACAACAAAUGCAAGAGAGAUAUUGGAAUAAAUUUACAGUAAAAUCCAUUAAUAGUAAUGGCAAGAAAAUUAAAUAACUAACAUGGUUGCAUAGCAUGAAAAAUUACUGAUUUAACAUUGCAGCUUUUCCGGAAAUCAAAAAUAAAAUUCAGAAAAUUAUUUUUUUCAAACACAAAAGAUGUUCCUCUAUCAACCCUAAAAACAGCAUCUUUUAAUUCCUACUGGUUUCUUAGAAAUCACAGUUUAUAGCUUUCAUUACAAUCCCCAUGCAUUGACAAAGGCUUUUUUUUAUCGUUCUUACAUAUGGAGAAUCACAGGAUCGGCAAACAUAACAUUCACAACAGUCCUUUCCGAGGAUGUGUUUGUGCAUGUUCCAUAUAAAUAUUACAAAUUUUUUACAUCGUGAGAAUGGUCAUUUAGAUUAGGUUAGCUCCAUUAAAAAUGCUUAAAAAUAUGGUGGACGGUUGGCUGGGUUAGUAUGGCUACAUUAAAAAUACUGUCAAAUAUUUUAAUGGUAGCUUAGGAAUUACCAAGUAGCGUAGCAACAUGUCCAUUCUGAGGCCCAAAAAGUUCCAAACUAGCCUAACCUAACCAACCGUCCAAAAUGUUUUAAAGUAUUUUUAAGGUACCUAGCUAAUCUAACCUAAUCGAUCAUUCUCACAAUUUGACUAAAGUUCUCCAAAACAUAAACAUACAGCAACAAAUGCAAGCGUCCGCUUCAAUGCAUAGGUAUUGUAAUGUAAGCUAUAAACAGUAAUUUAUCAGAAACCAGUAGGUAUUUAUCAACUCCGUUGUCAGGGUGAAUACAGGAACAUCUCCAGUGUUCGAAAAUUGUAUUUUAAAAACUUGAUUAAUAAUUUCCGGAAAAGCUGCGAAGUAAGGAUUUAAUCCAAAUUCUUAAUACGUUUAUGAUUCCCUGAAGUUUUCCUGUUUCCCAUAUGUUCCCUGUCUGCGGGAACAAUGGCACCCACCUUGCCCCGGUGUUGUGGGCCACAAACAGCUGGUUGGUCGCGGGCAGCAGCUUCACGAGGGCGGACGAGAAGGCGGCCGGCACGGACCUGUCGGGCUCCGACGUCUUCUCGGAGCCACCCAGCUUCCGUUCCAGGUCCAGCACGUCAGACAUGGCAUUCAUCCACCUGCGGUUACUCACAGGAAGUCAUCGUGAGGCAGCUCGAUGGACUGGCGACUCCUCUCGACGCCUUCCCUCCAGCCGACCUCCAGCCCGUCCAGCUGGGUGUAGAACAGCUCCACCUGCACAGCAGCCACACGCCCAGUUAGCAGGAGCACGGAGGAAGAAUACCCAGUUAUUGGGGACGAGAUUGUAUGGAGAAUUGCUUUAAAACCGAAAUAACACCGACAAGUGUGCCAGUACACCUUGGAACACCGAAAUGCAAGUUAAUACACCAUUUAGAAUCAAAACGCAAUUAAAUUCAUAAAAUUAA